rnacentral:snRNA from 1 species
AUCGCUUCUCAUCUCUAUGAACUGAGAUCAUGUGUAGUGUCUGUUCUUUCGCAGUGUAAUUUCUGCAACGGUCUCCGAAAUGAGACCAAUGAAAUUCUCUGUAUUCUUCCCUUUCAGACGGGUACUGUGAGCUUGCUUAACCCCGUCCACGUGUCAUGGUCGGCCUCCUAUUGGAUUAUCUCAAGGACUGGCCCAUUAAUC